rnacentral:rRNA from 1 species
UACGUAGGGUCCGAGCGUUGUCCGGAGUUACUGGGCGUAAAGCGCGCGCAGGCGGCGGUGCUGGCCCGGCGUGAAAGCCCCCGGCUCAACCGGGGAGGGUCGUCGGGGACCGCACCGCUUGAGGGCGGUAGGGGCUGGUGGAAUGCCUGGUGUAGUGGUGAAAUGCGUAGAGAUCAGGCGGAACACCCGUGGCGAAGGCGGCCAGCUGGGCCGUCCCUGACGCUGAGGCGCGAAAGCCAGGGGAGCAAACGGG